GUGGUUGUGGCUCAGCGGUAGAGCGCUUGCCUAGCAUGUGUGAGGCACUGGGUUCAAUCCUCAGCACCACA
rnacentral:tRNA from 1 species